GGGGGUGUCUCUGGCUUCGACGCUGGUGAUGAAACUCAUAGAUGCAUGCCGAGAGCGCAUUUUCUCUCGUAAAUAAAAUUUGCAUUUAAAUAGUCGCAAACGACGAAACUUACGCUCUAGCUGCCUAAGGGCAGCUUGUCCGCUUCCUAGAAUACUUGUGGUCUGGGAACCCGACUGAAGCGCACGCACACAAGUCCGUAUAGAGUCAAGCCUCGGGGCUUUAUACCAAACUUAGAGG
rnacentral:tmRNA from 1 species